rnacentral:snRNA from 1 species
AUGCUCACUUCAGCAGCAUAUAACCUAAAAUUGAAAUGAUUACAGAAGAGAUUAGUAUGGUCCCUGUACAAGGAUGACAUGCAAAUCUGUGAAGACUACUAUGUUAGG